GCUGCUAUCACUUGACCACCGAUAAAAAAAAAUAAUAAUAAUUCUUUUCUAACAAAGCUCUGAUAUCAUGUAGAGAAUAUUUUCUGUAUUUUGUUAAAUGAGAUACAAGGUAUUUAUAUAUAAAGAAUCAUACAAUUAAGUAUUCUAAUUGGGAAGAUAUCCCAAUAAUUAUGCUAAGUAAUUAGCUAACUAAUUAAAAAAGAAUAUUAUAUAUGUAAUUAUAGGAUUGACUUCUUAUAACACUACUAAUAAAAUAUACCUGAG
rnacentral:misc_RNA from 1 species